UUGGCGUCUAAUUUUUAUUUUUUCUUUCCCCUUUCAGCUGCUAUGGAGGCCUGGGACGAUCUGCUUUAAUCGCCGCCUGCCUGCUGCUCCAGCUCUCCUCGACACUCACUGCCAACCAAGCCAUCGAGUUCCUCAGAGAGCACAGAGGGGGAAGUGCCAUACAAACUGUGAAGCAGUACAACUUUCUGCAUGAGUUUCGGGAGAAGUAUGCUGCCUAUAAUGAGACCAGAGAGGCUCCCAAUGGGCGAUCGCUGUCUCGGUGAUUCUGGCUAAAAUGUUUUUGACUCAGAGAGGAAAAAACUAUUGAAUGAAACUCUUUCUUUUCUGCACCUCUAAGAGGUGAACUGUUAAAGAAUAAUAUAUUGCUUCUUUUGAGCUUUUAAAUGAGCCAAAAGCUUAGAUCUGGUUAUUCCUUUGGAUUAAAUGUAACAAUUUUCUUUUUCAAUCUUCAGUGUCUUAAUAAAAAUAUGGACUGUUAAAUCUAUUUA